GACUGCUGGCUGUGGUGCCGGGGCUCCUGUGCUGUGCCCCCUCACCCUCCUCUGGGAUGCAUGUCAGUGUUGUGACACUGAUCCUACUUCUCCAGAAACAUUCAUGAUCAGUGUUCUUGUAACUCAGUGAUAUUCUAAUACAUAGGACGGAAUUAUAUUUCCUUUCUCAGAGGAAAAUUAAGAAGUCUAGGAUGGAAUAUUCAUAUUUCCAUGUGUUCUGAAAAUGAGUGAAUAUGCCCUCUCUCCUGGUAGUGUUCAUGUAGUCUGAAUUCCUGGGAUUGAGAAGGCUUCCCAGUUCCCUCCACACCACGGAGCCAGCACAAGGUGAAGAAACCCCAGGAAACACUGCCACAGGUGUUUUAUUUGUGGUUCACUGCAGAGGGAGGACGAGGACGUGGGAGGACUCUGCCUGCUCCAGGUGGAUGAGGCCCCUGGCAGAGGUGUUUCAUUAUCCAGGCAAGGUGCACAGGGCUCUGAAACCUACCACGAAAUUGCUCUUGGCACCAGGGCCCUGGACAGACAGAAGUGAGGUGGAC
rnacentral:lncRNA from 1 species